AUCCGCGAGUCAGAGCAAGGAGACCCAAGGACGAGGCCACGUCGAUUUCCGCGAGAGUUCUAGCGAGUUGUCGUAGCUGAUCGGCAUGACGCGUGACCUUUAUGAAGCCUCAAAGUGCUGUAGCGAACUUUACCAGUGACGCCAUCUACACGUACGAAAUCCUCACGGUCCGCCAUCACGGCUUCCUUUGAUGAUGGGAUCUCGACAACGCGGAUGAAUGCUCGGUGGGGACUAAUGGUUAGCUUGGGGAUAUUCAGCAAAGACCUGUUAAAAUUUGGUAAAAUAAAUUGAUUUACAAAGACUCGAAGAGAUGGGGGUGUGAAUAUAGUCUCUA